UGGGGAAUUUUGGACAAUGGGGGCAACCCUGAUCCAGCAAUGCCGCGUGUGUGAAGAAGGCCUUCGGGUUGUAAAGCACUUUUGUCCGGAAAGAAAACGCCGUGGUUAAUACCCGUGGCGGAUGACGGUACCGGAAGAAUAAGCACCGGCUAACUACGUGCCAGCAGCCGCGGUAAUACGUAGGGUGCAAGCGUUAAUCGGAAUUACUGGGCGUAAAGCGUGCGCAGGCGGUCCGCUAAGACAGAUGUGAAAUCCCCGGGCUUAACCUGGGAACUGCAUUUGUGACUGGCGGGCUAGAGUAUGGCAGAGGGGGGUAGAAUUCCACGUGUAGCAGUGAAAUGCGUAGAGAUGUGGAGGAAUACCGAUGGCGAAGGCAGCCCCCCUGGGCCAAUACUGACGCUCAUGCACGAAAGCGUGGGGGAGCAAACAGGAUUAGAUACCCUGGUAGUCCACGCCCUAACGAUGUCAACUAGUUGUCGGGUCUUCAUUGACUUGGUAACGUAGCUAA
rnacentral:rRNA from 1 species